UACAGUAAUUCUGUGAAAUUCAUGCAGAGUUCAUUUUGUGUUUAGUUGGAUCAGUGUAUCAAACAUGUUGGUUUCUAUUUCCUUCAAUUUAUGCAGGUACUAAUGUUUGAACAAAGAUGCCACUGCAAAACAAGUAUUAAUAAAUACAGAAUAAUAAAUGUAAUACAAAGCCACUCAUUCUUAGUGGUAUGGACAGAAACCGUAACAGAACAUGUUUACUUAGGAAAGACUGCCAGCAACUUGUUUAUCUGACUCAGAAGCACUGGAGUGAAAAGUGAUGCCAGUUGGGUUUGUUAUGUAAAUACAACUUUUCACAGAUUUUUGAGUAUUUUUGUUCUCAGUAGAACAGUCUUAAGUUUGUUAGCUACAGGGAUAUAUGUGUUGUACAUAUUCAUGUUCUGGUGUAUGAUAAAGCUAUUACUAAAUUUACAUAAAAGACGUGUUUGUGGGGAAAUGAGUGGAUUCAGUUGACUUCCAUGCAAUUUUCAGCCUGUUCUAAUCCAGGUCAUACUGGUUGCUGCUUAAAAUAUGUGUCAAUUCUAGAACAAAGUACUAGUUCUCCAAGUCUGAAAUAAGCUCUUCUAGGUGAUAAUGUGCAAUUCAUCCAUCACUCUAGUCAGCUGUCAAGUAACAAUUCAGUAGCUUUCCCUUCUGUAGUUCUCUGGUUGAGGACAUGUCCUUAAAGAAAAAGUUGUUAUAUUUGCAAGCAUUUCUGAGAGGCAGAGAAGAAUUGCAAUGUUCAAAAACAUUUAUAUCCUAUCUAAAUCAGGAGCUGAAGUUUAAUUAUCCCCUUUAAAUUUUGAGCUGAUUGUAUGUGAACUUUAAUGAAAUCCAUUGAGCUUUGCAAAAAGCAUGGCUGAGAGUGGCAGCAGAAAAAUUAUUAGCUGCUCUUGAAGUCUAUGUAGUACAGACAGUGAACAGUUUCUUUGCACUAUUGCCUUUUUUCUUAAUUUCUGUUAUUUUCCUUGUAUUGUUCUAAAAAUAAUAUCCCACUGGCUGUCCCCAGUGAGACUCCUAAUUUGCAGUCAUACUAGCCUAAACUAUAUUAAAGAGCAUUAUUUAAUAGCUUUAGAAACAGCAAUUAGUUUUAUUUUCAUAAAGUCUUAAGUUGAAAGUUGCACCAAUGUUAAAUACCCAAAUAUAUGGCUUAAAAGCAUAGAAAAUGGAAGGUGUAUUUCCAGAGUGACUUAACCCUUUCUAUGCUGAUAAAAUCAAUAGAGGGUACUGGUUUAUCUGUUACCUCUAAUAAUUAAAGUCUUAGCUUUAGGCUUCCAAAUCGGAAUGCUUUUGCUGGAGUCAUUAUGAAUCUUUCUACUAGUAAGUGAAGGCACUAACAGUCAGUGGUUUUUAUUUUACGCUUUUUAAAUAUGAAGAAAGAAACACCUACCUUUUAAGGUUUAGUGUUUAAAAAUGUCAGAGAACCUCAUUUGGUAAGACAGAUUGGUUUAACUUUCCCUACAAAGAUAUGGAGACCAGAAUGAUAUGAAUACUGAUUUGUGCGCUCUCCUUAAAAAUACUAAAAGGAAAAGCAAAAGCAUGAGAAGAUAAAUCUAAUUUAGUUGUUCCAACAGAAUAUGCCACCUUGGCUCCGUUACUUUGGCAGGCAAACAAUGGUGGGCUCAGCUUUUGCAGUAUUAGGUCUAAAAAGAUGUAAGUCUUGUGCCUGUUCAGUAUAGGAUCUUUCUGGAAUAAAAUAAUACUGAAGUUGUUCUCCUUCAGACGGUGGUUGUGUAUGAAUGUGGAUAGGUCUGCGACUGCCAUCUCGCCUCCAGUGCUUGGCUUUGAGCAUGCUGUAGCAUGGCUUAUUCAACUGGUCACACGUGGCAACAGGCUUGAUUUUUUUUUUUUUUUUUUUUGAAGGUAUUGACGUUGAUAACUUUGCCAGACUUCUAACUUCUGUCCCACAGUAGAAUGGUAGAUAACAGGCAAACAAGUACCUGUAGAUAGUUACUAAGAAGAAUAUGCAAAUCAACAUGCAAAUGUUAAAUAUGCCUUUUAUGUGCAUAAUCACUUCUUAGAAAUAUAGUUGAAGAAAACGCUGUCAAUUAUUUUAGCUUGUUGGUUAUUAUAUAUUGAUAGAAUCCAUGUAAUUUGAAAGAAAUGGGUGUAUAGCUGAAAAUGAGGUAAUUCAGAAAGCAAACGUAAGUGGUCUGUUAUUUGGAACACACAGUCAGUACCUCACUUAAUAUAGUGCUGUUCCUGGUGAGGAGGAACUGUGCAAUACGGUCGUAUUCACUAGGUCAGGACAGAUACUCUCAGAAGUUCUGAUUAUGGAAGCAAUAGACUGAGUUAUCACACCUAGAUCUUUUUGAAAUGCUGAAGGAUACAGUUUAUUUUUUGUGCCAUUUAAUGCAGUCAGGGUAGUGAAUAGUUACAGUAUCAGUAUCAUUGAUCACUAAGGUAAAAAAAAGUUAUUUUAUUUGCAUCUUCAUACUUACAGUAGAACUGAAAAUAGAGAGCUUAAUUGUUGCUUUCAGUUUGUCAUUUGAAAUGUGGAUGCUUCAAAGGAAAUCUAGUAACUGCUCAUCAAGUGCUUUACUGUGCCGCUCCUGUCUAUCCAGACUGGUCAUCAGGCCGGUCUAAUAGUUCUAUUCCCUUUCCCUUUUCCUCCUUAAGAAUAUUUUAACCACUGGGAUAGCUGUAAUCAGUAAUAAGUUAAAAAUACUCAUAAAUGUAUGCAGUGUAAAGAACUGGUUUUUAAACAAGAUCACGUUCUUGAGAACUUGGAACAUGAUAUUGUACUACAUUAUAGAACUACUGCACACUACAAAGAAAGGUUGGUUGGCUCGCAGGAACUCAAAGAGGGCUUGAAGUUUGUAUGGAACUAGUUUGAUGCAAACUAGUUCCAACAAUUCAUAUAUAAAUAUAUUUUUAAAAACUCCAUUUCAUUGUCUUAUGGGUAGGAACCUGAAAAGUGAGAGAUCAGAUCAGGAUUUAUUCUACAAGUUUCCCAGACAAGGAGUUUGCUAUGAAGCAAAAACUAAUUGAUAAUUUAAGAAAAUAAUUCCACUUACCUGGAAUUUGAGGUCAUGAGUGACAUACUCAAGAACUAUUCAAUUUUGGCCAAAUUAGUGCCUGUUACUAAUCUGUGAAUCUAUGAACUUUUCUAUUUAGGUUUAUCUCGGAGUAGGAAAGGCUUUUGGCAACAAUAUUUUGUAUAGUACUAAGCCUUCCAUAACAAUCUUAGCUUGUGAAUAUUGUGCCUAUGUGAAUGUGCAGAUGACCUGACGUAUACAAGUAAACCAAGAAGGAAUCUGUAAGUAGGACAAUUAGAUCUAGGCGCUGUUUUUCGGUAAACUUACCACCACUUUGGGGGGAGAAGACAUAGGAAGUUUCAGACAGGUUGUAUAAUUCUAUCUUCAUGCAGUAAGGAGCAAAAAGUACUGAGAAAGACAGUGUCAUUUGAAAAUGGAAGUGUGCUCACAGCUGCUCAAGACGAUGUAAGAUAUAUGUGUAAUGCAAGUGUAACUCUACAAGGAGACUAUUUGAAGUACAUACUGUACUUCAAAGGCUAUUGUAAUAUUGUUCAUUAACACGACUGAUCUAUUUUUGGGCUGAUCUCCAAACUGUUAUUCCUUCAAAACAGGUGAAGAAGAAACCAAGAAGUGGUCAGCUGGUGGUGACUUAGGGGCCAGGUACAGCUUUUGAGUAGCCGGCUGUGGCUUCUGUGUUGGGGUUACCUUGAGGGACUGGCUGUGCUAAUGGGAAGGCAUCUGUGGGACAACUCAAGCUCAAGUGGAAACAGGUCACUAUGGUACACAGCAACAUACACACACCAAAUUAAGUAGUAGGAGUGCCCCAUCUAUGAUCUAGUCUCCAAAGUAUGUCAUACACAUCAUCUGGCUCUUGGCUGCGAGCUGUUGCCAUGACCUGUGGAAGGUUGCUAAGUUUCAGGCUGUUUACACUCUCAUACUAGACUGCAAUUCCUAUUUUCAAGGGUUUCUUUACGGCUGGAUGAAAACAGUGUUUGUUCCUUAGCAAGGAUUAUUUUUGUGUCAGGUAUAUAAUGUACAGGAACAUUCUGUCAAGCAGUAAUUUGAUGGGGGUCCUAAGCACACUGAAACCAUACUCCAGUUACAGAUGGUGCAUUAGACUGGAGCACAGUUACUGGGGUCUGUGUGCAUCUGCUUUUGAAAGUGGAAGGAUUAUGUAAGUGUCCACAAAAAAAGGCACAUUCUUCUACUUAAAAAUCCAUCUGUCAUAUUGCACAUCAAUUUGGGGUCAGAUUGUACUGUCCUAAUUAAUGGAAUAAAGUUUUAGUAUUCCAUACA